rnacentral:piRNA from 1 species
ACACGUAACCAACACAGGGAAUUGUAGGGG